GGACAAUAUAAUUAUAUCAAUAAAACUACAACACUCUAAUUAUUAUUUCUUCAGAACUAACUACUACUUACAAUCAUCAAGAGAGAACUACUAUCCAUCUCUCUGUUUUACAUAUGGAUAAGUAAUAAAUAUAUGAAGACAUUUUUUAUAACAUGCACAACCAAGGAAAUAAAUUUGACACAAAAGCAUUCGACGUUACUUGUUUCGUUGAGUGGAAUCUGAAGGCAAAGAACUUUGAAACUCCAGUAAAAUCUCCUGAAUCCGUUUCUUCAACAGUUUAUCUUUGACACCUGCCAGCAUACUACGAUAAAACAUCUCCAGGCGGACAAGCUUUCCACGAUCCAAGGACUCCAACAUGUUUUCCCACUCCUUUGCAAUGUCAAAUGAACCUCCACCGCGUAAUGAGGCUGGCAUAUCUCGCUCUUCAAAAGGUUUCCCAAAGGUGGCACCAUGAAGAAUGCUAGCAUACCUUUCCAUUAGAGAGAGUUUCGACUGAAGAAGCUUUACAUCCUCUGCUGCCAUAGACAGCUUCCUCUCCAAUUCUAUCACAUCUUCAGUUUUCUUUUCUGCACCACUUUUAUCGCUACCAUCUUUCACACUCUGUUCUCUAAAAUCUGCAUCUAGAGGUGGCCAUAGUGCCAUAGUUGGAGAGUAGCAAUCAAUCAUCUUACCAUUUCCAAGGACACCACUCCAUCCUCUACCCCAAGACCACAUCUUAUAUCCAGCACCUGCCAGAAGAAUAGUAUGGGCAGCACCACAGACAACUUGAACAGGUUCUGGAAAUUUAGGCCCAUAUAGCCCAGAACAGGGAAUCAACAGAGGAAGAAUUGCAUCACCUGCAUCAGGUCCACUAUAACUUGCUUCAGGGCAUAGGCCAAGGCCUUUCUCCAUUCCCCAUGACCAC
rnacentral:misc_RNA from 1 species